rnacentral:tRNA from 1 species
GUGGAAAUAGUUUAACGAAAACAUUAGAUUGUGAUUCUAAAAACAGAGGUUAAAGUCCUCUUUUCCACC